CGGGGGGAUAAAACAUGUUAUUGAUAUACAUUAACACAUUGUAAAACAUGUUAUUGAUAUACAUUAACACAUUGUAAAACAUGUUAUUGAUAUACAUUAACACAGUGUAAAACAUGUUAUUGAUAUACAUUAACACAGUGUAAAACAUGUUAUUGAUAUACAUUAACACAGUGUAAAACAUGUUAUUGAUAUACAUUAACACAGUGUAUGACGUUAUCUAUAUACAUUAACACAGUGUAUGACGUUAUCUAUAUACAUUAACAUCCCUGUUUCUGAGGCAGAAAGAGAGAGAGAGUGGCUGAAUCCCAAAUCACCCCCUUUCCCCUUGCCCCUCGCCCCUCGGCGUUCACGCUCGCCUCCGACACAUGCACAAGUGUCCCAAAGCUGAGGGAGUGAAAGUGAUCGAGGGUGUAGGGGCUAAUUAGACCCUCAGAUCGCCACUUCGACCGAGCCAGCAAGGCUUCAGAGCAAAGUGAUAUUCCAACACGCACUGCAAUGUGUUUGUGCAAUUUCAUUAAAAAAUAAUGUUUAUGUCUGAUUUCAUGACUUGACACAUGUAACAGAUGAAAUACCUUCCAAAUUAAAUGUUUAAUUUACUGAGGUUUAAAUCUUGUGAAACGACAGGUGGGAUUUGUUAAUUUGAGUUUCAUGCUUGUUUUAUUAUUUAAAAGUGGAACAUUAAAUUGCAUCAUUCAAGUCAGGAGUGUGUCUUGAAGUUGAAGGUAUAUUGAUCACCUCGCCACUCUCUGGAAGUCACCCUCUGAGUUUCGUCAGCAACACGUGACAGCAGAGGGCCCUCCGAGUGAGUUGGUCGUGGCAAGGGGGUGGUUUGGGAUUCACCGAGAAUGAUUUCUGAGGGGUACUAACUCAAUCCAGUCAUACUGUGAAAGAUGGAUGCCAAAUGGAGCCCUAUUCUCGAUAUAGUGUCAAGGCUCUGUACAAAAGUAGUGCACUAUAUAGUGAAUAGUGUGCCAUUUUGGACGGUCUCACCUAAUGUACACACUUAUCUGAUGGGUUCAACUGUCAUUUUUUCAAACAUAAUAAACAACUUUACCUGAAAGGUG